rnacentral:rRNA from 1 species
GACAGAGGGUGCGAACGUUGUUCGGAAUUACUGGGCGUAAAGCGCGUGUAGGCGGCAACGCAAGUCGGGCGUGAAAUCCCACGGCUCACCCGUGGAACUGCUGGGCAUACUGGCGAUCUUGGGCCAACUAGGGGCAACUGGAACAAGCGGUGGAGCGGUGAAAUGCGUAGAUAUCGCUUGGAACGCCAAAGGUGAAAACAGGUUGCUGGGGUUGUGCCGACGGCUGAGACACGA